UACGAAGGGGCUAGCGUUGCUCGGAAUUACUGGGCGUAAAGCGCACGUAGGCGGCUUCUAAGUCGGGGUGAAAUCCUGGAGCUCACUCCAGAACUGCCUUCGAUACUGGAAAGCUCGAGUCCGGGAGAGGUGAGUGGAACUGCGAGUGUAGAGGUGAAAUUCGUAGAUAUCGGAGAAGACACCAGUGGCGAAGGCGCGAUCUG
rnacentral:rRNA from 1 species